rnacentral:rRNA from 1 species
AUUGAACGCUGGCGGCAUGCUUUACACAUGCAAGUCGAACGGCAGCGCGGGCUUCGGCCUGGCUGCGAGUGGCGAACGGGUGAGUAAUGCAUCGGAACGUGCCCAGUAGUGGGGGAUAGCCCGUCGAAAGCCGGAUUAAUACCGCAUACGACCUGCGGGUGAAAGCGGGGGACCGAAAGGCCUCGCGCUAUUGGAGCGGCCGAUGUCGGAUUAGCUAGUUGGUGGGGUAAAGGCUUACCAAGGCGACGAUCCGUAGCUGGUCUGAGAGGACGACCAGCCACACUGGGACUGAGACACGGCCCAGACUCCUACGGGAGGCAGCAGUGGGGAAUGUUGGACAAUGGGGGCAACCCUGAUCCAGCCAUGCCGCGUGCGGGAAGAAGGCGUUCGGGUUGUAAACCGCUUUUGUUCGGGAAGAAAUCCUCUGGGCUAAUACCCCGGGGGGAUGACGGUACCGGAAGAAUAAGCACCGGCUAACUACGUG